UGUCCCAGCUGGAGUACCAUAGCGUGAUCAUGGCUCACUACAGCCUCAAACAUCUGGGCUAAAGGAAUCCUUCUGCCUCAGCCUCCCUAGGAGCCUCGUGACUACAGGGUGCAUCCUGCCCAAAAGGAAACCAAGUAUGGGGCACCACGUGUGCUGGAGUCACUGAGCGCUAAUGAAUCCAUUGUUAAGCCAAGCCAACGGCAUCUAGACUUGUAGAGAUUCGCUUCCUGCAACGCAUGCCUUGUCUGAUUAAAAAAUCUUUGAAUUAUUUGGUUCUGUGUACAGAUCCUCUUCUCCAAAAGCUUUAGCAAUUGAGUCUCGUGGUUUGGAAGGCAGUAGCCUCAGGUUUUUCACAGGCUGCUCCUUCUGUCAUUUAGGAUCAGCUCUAAAGAAAGGCCUUCCUUGACCAAGCCAAGAAGGAGCAACAUGUCUGAAAAGAGCGAUUUGGCCAAGUCUUCUUUGAAAACUGGCAUUUAAGCUUACAUCUGAAGGAUGAAUAGAGUUAGCCAAGUGAAGGACUGGGAUGGGAGCAUUCUUGGGCAGGGAGCAGCACUAGUGAAGUGUGAAGCUGGCAGGGUGGACAGGGAUAAACAUAUGCUGGGCUUUGUAAACCAAGAAAAUGAUCUUGAAUUUUAUCUUAAGUACCAAAAGAAAUCAUAUAAGGGUUUUGAGCAAGGGAGCAAAAUGAUCUAGUUUCUUUUAAGAAAAUACCUAAAUAACUGUGCGGAGAAUGGCUCAAAAAAAGGGCAGCAAAAAGGAAAGGAGGGGAAAAAGGGGAGUACUUUGGCAAUUGCAGUAAGCAAUGGUGGCAGCCGAGCUGACGGCAGAGGGCAGCAGACAGGCUGCAGAUACAUUUUGGGGGUAGAAGUGAUCAUACUUGGUUGUGGAUUUGAUGGGGGUGAUUAGGGAGAAAUAAGAAUUAAAGUGGCUCUGAACUUUCUGGCUUGAUGAAAAAGACGAGAAAAAACAAUCUGAAGGGAAGGUUGGAGUUCAAUUUCAACAUGUAAUAUCUGAGAAACUAUAUGAAACAUUGAGUAAAGAAGAUAUCAGCUGAGCAACUGGAGGUUCCUAAUGGCUCUAGGAUGUAGAGAUUUCAUGGAAUUUGUACGAAAAUUUGUAAUUUCUUGUAAGACAAAAUAUGAUCCUAACUAUGCCACAAAAACAGGUCAAAGUUUGACAUGAAAUACAGGCAAAAUCUCAUGGACUGAAAAUGUUACAUUCUUUGUAAUGAAGCUAUUUCCAAAGAGUUGAGUAAUAAUUCCCUCAUGAGAGUUCAAUAAAUAAUUCUGUUC
rnacentral:lncRNA from 10 species